rnacentral:lncRNA from 1 species
CGAGUGCGGGUGCCCAGCGCGUGGCCCCUGGUUCGGAUAGCUGUCCCCCGCCUGGGGCUGUCAGCGCAGACUCCGGCUCCAGGGCUGUGGCCUGCGGUGCUCGAAACUGCAGGACCCGCCUUCCUCGGCUUCUGCCUUCCUCGGCUUCUGCCGCCCGCGGCCCGGGCACUGCUCAGUGCCCCUUGGAGAGGAACUUCCCAGGGGCUAAGAGCCAUCCUACCAGCGCUUGUGAGAUCAGUGAGAAGCCGCUUCCUGAGUGUUCACACCCACCAAGUGAGCGGGUCCUCCAAGCUCUCCUUCUCCGUGCCUGCCGUGUCCCUCCGCAGUCCGCGAGCACCUGUCGCAGAGGGCGAGGAGGAAGACAAUGCGCGUCUGCAUCCUGACGAUGGGAAGCCGCCCCGUACCCGUCCUCGAUUCCACAGGCCACACUUGCUGCUCCUGCUGUGACCUGGUCGAGUGCUGGGCUCUGACACUCGUCUCUCCUCUUGGGCCGACGCCGGUCCUCAUCACACCUCCGAGGAGUCACUGAGCAACACUCUGCUUUCAGUAAAAGACCAAGCUUAACG